rnacentral:tRNA from 1 species
GGGUCCGUGGGUUAGUUUGGUAUACUUGGGGCUUUGGGAGCCUUAGACUCCGGUUCAAAUCCGGGCGGACCCA